CAGUAGCCGCGGUAAUACGUAGGGUGCGAGCGUUAAUCGGAAUUACUGGGCGUAAAGCGUGCGCAGGCGGUUUUGUAAGACAGGCGUGAAAUCCCCGGGCUCAACCAGGGAAUGGCGCUUGUGACUGCAAAGCUAGAGUGCGGCAGAGGGGGAUGGAAUUCCGCGUGUAGCAGUGAAAUGCGUAGAUAUGCGGAGGAACACCGAUGGCGAAGGCAAUCCCCUGGGCCUGCACUGACGCUCAUGCACGAAAGCGUGGGGAGCAAACAGGAUUAGAUACCCCUGUAGUCCCUGUCUCUUAUAA
rnacentral:rRNA from 1 species